AAUGCAGCAGGGAGCCGCGGUUACCAUCAGCUCCGUCAUCCUUGGGGAAAGGCCCCCUUGCCUAUUUCGAUCUGCCAUCUCGUGGCUGUGGCCGUUCUCAUCUCAACCCUGCUGUGAGGUCACGGGUUUGGAGGCCGGCAGAAGGAUCCCCAAGCAUUUCCCACUGUGAUCUCACAAUACUGGCUCCCGCCCUCCUGGCUCUGCCACAGGGAGCAAUUCCAGCUCCCGAGUCUGGAGGGAUGUCUUUGUGAAAUCUCUUGGCUCUUUAGACAUCAGGUCAGACACGAAGCUCUGCUUAGAAGCCCUAACGCUGUGGGCUUUCAUCCCCCCGCCCCUCCCAGAGCACUAUGCUGGUCUCGAUCGAGAGGCACACACGACUGGAGAAGUGGCUGGCUUUGCAUUUCUGCUUAUGACUUCCGUUUGUUACUGACACCCCACCUCGGCGGUGCGCACCCGGCGAGCCGUGGCAGGCGCCCGAGCCUGGGUUCACGAACGCAGAGAGGAGCCACAGGGACGGGACAGAGCGGAGAAAUGGGAAAGGGGGGUUUGUCGGGAUGUCAACUGUUGACAUCUAAUUAAAACAACUUUCUAAACAAGACUUUACUUAUGUAAAGUUUUAAUUAGUAAAGAUACUUAUAGUU